AGAGUUCGAUCCUGGCUCAGGAUCAACGCUGGCGGUGUGCCUAAUACAUGCAAGUCGAGCGAAUGGAUUAAGAGCUUGCUCUUAUGAAGUUAGCGGCGGACGGGUGAGUAACACGUGGGUAACCUGCCCAUAAGACUGGGAUAACUCCGGGAAACCGGGGCUAAUACCGGAUAACAUUUUGAACCGCACGGUUCGAAAUUGAAAGGCGGCUUCGGCUGUCACUUAUGGAUGGACCCGCGUCGAAUUAGCUAGUUGGUGAGGUAACGGCUCACCAAGGCAACGAUGCGUAGCCGACCUGAGAGGGUGAUCGGCCACACUGGGACUGAGACACGGCCCAGACUCCUACGGGAGGCAGCAGUAGGGAAUCUUCCGCAAUGGACGAAAGUCUGACGGAGCAACGCCGCGUGAGUGAUGAAGGCUUUCGGGUCGUAAAACUCUGUUGUUAGGGAAGAACAAGUGCUAGUUGAAUAAGCUGGCACCUUGACGGUACCUAACC
rnacentral:rRNA from 1 species